CAUUUUUAGCUCACCUGGCCCGAAGGGCCAAGUGAGCUUUUCCCAUCACUUUGCGUCGGCGCCGUCGUCGUCGUCGUCCGUCGUCUGUCGUCCGUCGUCGUCCGUCGUCCGUCGUCGUUAACUUUUACAAAAAUCUUCUCCUCUGAAACUACUGGGCCAAAUUGAACCAAACUUGGCCACAAUCAUCAUUGGGGUAUCUAGUUUAAAAAAUGUGUGGCGUGACCCGGUCAACCAACCAAGAUGGCCGCCACGGCUAAAAAUAGAACAUAGGGGUAAAAUGCAGUUUUUGGCUUAUAACUCAAAAACCAAAGCAUUUAGAGGAAAUCUGACAUGGGGUAAAAUGUUUAUCAGGUCAAGAUCUAUCUGCCCUGAAAUUUUCAGAUGA
rnacentral:lncRNA from 1 species